GGAGCGAUGCUCGAGUGGCUGAAGAGGCACGCCUGGAAAGCGUGUAUACGCCAAAAGCGUAUCGGGGGUUCGAAUCCCCCUCACUCCGCUA
rnacentral:tRNA from 1 species